rnacentral:rRNA from 1 species
UACAGAGGUCCCAAGCGUUGUUCGGAUUCACUGGGCGUAAAGGGUGCGUAGGUGGUGAGGUAAGUCGGAUGUGAAAGCUCGGAGCUCAACUCCGAAAUGGCAUUGGAAACUACCUUGCUCGAGGGUUGGAGGGGGGACUGGAAUGCUUGGUGUAGCAGUGAAAUGCGUAGAUAUCAAGCGGAACACCGGUGGCGAAGGCGACAUCCUGGACCGGCAUUGACGCUGAGGCGCGAAAGCCAGGGGAGCAAACGGG